UUAGGCAUGCAAGUCGCACGAGAAACCCAACUAGCUUGCUAGGAGGGGGACAGUGGCGAAAGGGAGAGUAACGCGUGGUUACCUACCCUCAGGACCGGGAUAGCGUCGGGAAACUGGCAGUAAUACCGGAUAACAUCUACGGAUCAAAUGGUGUGAUUCCGCCUGAGGAUUGGACUGCGUACUAUUAGCUUGUUGGUGGGGUAAUGGCCUACCAAGGCUGCGAUGGUUACCGGGUGUGAGAGCAUGGCCCGGCUCACUGGGACUGAGACACUGCCCAGACACCUACGGGUGGCUGCAGUCGAGAAUCUUCGGCAAUGGGCGAAAGCCUGACCGAGCGAUGCCGCGUGCGGGAUGAAGGCCCUCGGGUUGUAAACCGCUGUCAGUUGGGAGGAAAUGCCAUGGGGUUAUCCCUGUGACUUGACCGAUCUUCAGAGGAAGGACGGGCUAAGUACGUGCCAGCAGCCGCGGUAACACGUACCGUCCAAACGUUAUUCGGUAUUACUGGGCUUAAGCGUUCGUAGGCGGCUUGGAAGGUGAGAUGUGAAGCCCACGGCUCACCGUGGAAUUGCGUUUCAAACCACCAGGCUUGAGGAAGAUAGGGGUGAUGGGAACUUAUGGUGGAGCGGUGAAAUGC
rnacentral:rRNA from 1 species